UCUGUCAGGCAAAGUCCACUCAUCCUUUAUGACCUAAUACAAAUGAUGCUUCUUCUGUGAAGCCUUCCCUGCCCUCCCCAGGGAGAUAAUCACUCUCCUCUCUGCUUUCACAUGUAUUAUGGCAUGUCUCUUUAUAUGUUGGUCUCUCCCAAAUGUCUUAGAAGAUUCAUGGGGCAAUCCCAAUCUGAUUGAGGAAGAGGUAUUCUAGAAACAUCUACUGAUGAACAAAAAUAUCAGGUAUUCACACACACAGAGUGCUACCUACUGAAGAGAUUCUCUCCAGUUGGAGAGAAAAGCUUAAUGGAGAAGAUGUCAUUGAGGAGAACCUGGAAGGGCAGGUAAAGAAAUAAAAGAGGACAAGAAAAGAUGUUUUCCCAUCCCUGACAUUUUCUGGUCCAGCAAGGACAAGCUGAAAAGCUGAUUAACAAGCUUCCCAGGAGACAGAUCCAACUGGCAUCUAAGGAUAAGAGGGCUUAUCUUCUGAUUUUUGGUUAAGGUGAUUAAACUCAGACUACUAAUUGGGUAAAAAUGCAAAACUUAUUCUAGAUUACUAUUUUAAGCAUCCUUCAUUCUUUCAUCCAUUCUUCCAUUUAUUCUUCCAAGAAUCUAUUUUUCCACCUAUCCAUUUUUCUACCCAUCCAUUAUUUAUUUAGAAGUAUUUAGAUACUUCUUUUAGAUACUUCUAUGCACCAUAUUCUGUGCUGAGUGUGGAAAACACAAUGAUGGACAAGGAAGCAGAUUUCCUUGCCCUUAUAACUUAUAGCCUAGCCCAGGAGACAAUGAAAAACAACCAUCCAAGUGGCCACGUAUUCCUAGUUGAGAUAAGUGCUCUAAAAAAUAUACUGUAGGCAAUUAAGAUGGAUAAUGGGAGGGAGGUAAACAAGACUAGGGGUUCAAAGAAGAUGGCCUGCUUGGGGGAAAAAAAAGAUAUUAAAACCCAGUAUUCGGGGGCCACGUGGGUAGCUCUGUUCUUAAGUUUGAGUUUUGCAUCAAGCUUUGUGCUGGCCAUGCAGAGCCUGCUUG